GGACUACCGGGGUAUCUAAUCCGGUUCGUGCCCCUAGCUUUCGUCCCUUGCCGUCAGGUCCGUUCUGGUGAGACGCCUUCGCCACUGGUGGUCCUUCAAGGAUUACAAGAUUUCACCCCUACCCCUGAAGUACCUCUCACCUCUCCCGGCCUCGAGCCAGACAGUAUCUCCUGAAAGCCCAACAGUUGAGCUGCUGGAUUUCUCAAGAGACUUGCCCGGCCCUUGCUAUGCAAUGCUUUUUAGGCAUCACGACAGCCAGAUUUGUAACCUGGCACUCGAGGUCCCCUUAUCGCCGUUGCCGGCAUUGUAAAGUUUUCGCGCCUGCUGCGCCCCAUAGG
rnacentral:rRNA from 1 species